UACGGGAGGCAGCAGUGGGGAAUAUUGCACAAUGGGCGAAAGCCUGAUGCAGCUAUGCCGCGUGUAUGAAGAAGGCCUUAGGGUUGUAAAGUACUUUCAUCGGGGAGGAAAAAACAAAACUAAUAAUUUUAUUUCUUGACGUUACCCGAAAAAGAAGCACCGGCUAACUCCGUGCCAGCAGCCGCGGUAAUACGGAGGGUGCUAGCGUUAAUCAGAAUUACUGGGCGUAAAGAGCACGUAGGUGGUUUUUUUAAGUCAGAUGUGAAAUCCCUGGGCUUAACCUAGGAACUGCAUUUUGAAACUGAAAUACUAGAGUAUCGUAGAGGGAGGUAGAAUUCUAGGUGUAGCGGUGAAAUGCGUAGAUAUCUGGAGGAAUACCUGUGGCGAAAGCGGCCUCCUAAACGAAUACUGACACUGAGGGUGCGAAAGCGUGGGGAGCAAACAGGGAUUAGAUACC
rnacentral:rRNA from 1 species